rnacentral:rRNA from 1 species
UACGUAGGCAGCAAGCGUUGUUCGGAAUUACUGGGCGUAAAGAGUGUGUAGGCGGUGCUCUAAGUUUGGUGUGAAAUCUCCCGGCUCAACUGGGAGGGUGCGCCGAAAACUGGAAUGCUUGAACGUGGGAGAGGAAAGCGGAAUUCCUGGUGUAGCGGUGAAAUGCGUAGAUAUCAGGAGGAACACCUGCGGUGUAGACGGCUUUCUGGACCAUUGUUGACGCUGAGACACGAAAGCGUGGGGAGCGAACAGG